UACGAAGGGUGCAAACGUUGCUCGGAAUCAUUGGGCGUAAAGCGCACGUAGGCGGCCUCGAAAGUCGGAUGUGAAAUCCCAUGGCUCAACCAUGGACGUGCACCCGAAACUGUGAGGCUUGAGUACUGAAGAGGAUCGCGGAAUUCCCGGUGUAGAGGUGAAAUUCGUAGAGAUCCGGAGGAACCCCAGAGGCGAAGGCGGCGUCCUGGCUCGCAUCUGACGCUCAGACACGACAGCAUGGGGAGCGAACGGG
rnacentral:rRNA from 1 species